rnacentral:rRNA from 1 species
CAAAGGCUUCGGCCGGUAAAGGAUGGGGAUGCGUCUGAUUAGCUUGCCGGCGGGGUAACGGCCCACCGGGGCGACGAUCAGUAGGGGUUCUGAGAGGAAGGUCCCCCACAUUGGAACUGAGACACGGUCCAAACUCCUACGGGAGGCAGCAGUGAGGAAUAUUGGUCAAUGGGCGCGAGCCUGAACCAGCCAAGUAGCGUGCAGGACGACGGCCCUAUGGGUUGUAAACUGCUUUUAUACGGGGAUAAAGUAUGCCACGUGUGGUUUAUUGCAGGUACCGUAUGAAUAAGGACCGGCUAAUUCCGUGCCAGCAGCCGCGGUAAUACGGAAGGUCCGGGCGUUAUCCGGAUUUAUUGGGUUUAAAGGGAGCGUAGGCCGGGUUUUAAGCGUGCCGUGAAAUGUCGGGGCUCAACCUUGACACUGCGGCGCGAACUGGAGUCCUUGAGUGCGCGGAACGUAUGCGGAAUUCGUGGUGUAGCGGUGAAAUGCUUAGAUAUCACGAAGAACCACGAUUGCGAAGGCAGCAUACGGCAGCGCUACUGACGCUGAAGCUCGAAGGCGCGGGUAUCGAACAGGAUUAGAUACCCUGGUAGUCCGCGCGGUA